CCCGAUUUCGGCCAAGCAUUCGCUUUCAGGCAUAAUGCUUUGUCAUACAGAGGAGAUCGUGGCCUACUAAAUGAUUGCAAGGUCCCCAGUCCUUGUGGCUUCGAAAACAAGCCAAAAUAAUCACCCCUCCACUACUGUGCUUGACAGUUGAUAUGAGUAGUCUGUGCUGUUCUACUGUUUAGUUUUCGCCAAACAUGACGCUGUGCAUUAUGGUCAUACAUCUCCACUUUGAUCUCAUCUGCCCAAAGGACAUUGUUCCUGAAGUUUUGUGGUCCAUUCAGAUGCUGGAUGUUUUCUCCUGGCAACUCUUCCAAACAAACCAUAUUUGUUCAGUCUUUCUAAUAGUACUGCCUUGAACUUUAAUGUGCUGAGGCCUGUAGAGUCUGAGAUGUAACUCUUGUUUGUGUUUGGUUUCCAAUUUCUUUUAGCAUUGCAUGGACUGACCUUGGAUGUCCCGGUAAAUUCACCCCACUUCUGGAAAGAUUGUCAAUUAUCUGAAGUGUCUUCCACUUUUUAAUCUUUCUCACUGUAAAAUAAUGAAUUUUAAAUUUGUUUGAAAAUGGCCUUAUAACCCUUCCCUGUUUGAUGG